rnacentral:lncRNA from 1 species
AGUAACCAAACUCCAUCCGACCACCUUUUGAAUUUCAGCUGAGCUUCUACAGUAAGCAAAUUCCGUCUGAACUUCUAUUGCAAGCAGACUUCAACUGAGCUUCUACAAUAAGCGAUCUCCAUCCAAGCUUCCACGGCAAUCGAUCUCCAUCCAAGCUUCUACAGUAAGCGGCCUCCUUCCAGACUUCUGUAAGAAUCGAACUUCGUCUAAACUUCUACAGC